CUUUAUUCCUGGGACUUAAAAGCUUGACUAUCCACGGUAAGUCGAUGACCAGUGCCCAUGGCGUGAACAGCUCUGACACCAGAGUUGACAACAAAAACAGGAGUGUUUGCAUUUCUGGGGCCUCAAGAAAUGGGGAGGUUCUCCCAAGUACACUGACAGGGGUAUUGUUCCCCUAUUUUAGAAUUAUUACCCCAAGAUCAGCAAAUUGAAGUAAGUUGGUUGAUCUCACGCCACAGCACCUGUGCUUUUCCAGCAAGGGAGGGAUGGAGUCCAAUGCAGGAGUCCCCGUCACAGAGAAAACCACUGUGAUGGGAUGUCUAUUUGGGAAUUAGGACACAAAGGCAGAUGGGAUAGGGUGGGGAGUCUACAUAUUUUUUAUUUGGAUGCUUUGAUGGAUUAAAGUUCCAAAACAAGUGUGUAUUGGGCAGAGGGCAGUCUGGGCUGUGGUUCUGCUCUGUGAGGCUGGGAGUCCAGGCAGGUCCUGUGUCCACUGGUUCACUUUUACAGCCUGAAGCCCCUCGGCAGGACAUCUGCACAGAGGCCUGCAAGUGACUCCAGGGUGCUAAUGAUGCCCACAAGGCGAAAGCCAGAGAAAAUCCCAUCGACUCUGCUAACCAGGGCACCCGUGGCCACCAGUGCGGUUUUAUCCUGCAAAGAACAAACCAGUUUGCAAACCACGCUUUGAGGCCAGAGGCAUGGCGGUACUCACCAGUGUCUCCUGAAGGCUGGAGCCUCCGAGGGUUGAUUCAAAAACUGUAUUUUCUUAUAAAAUGUAGUAACAUUUGAACCUUAAAAAAGGGCUAGGGAAUAAGCUUAUCUAGCCUCUCAUGUAAUUUUGUAACUGAGUGGGAUGAAGGCUGAGGAACAAAGGCAUCUGGCGCCAGCACCCCUGCUGAUCUCUGUCCUCCCGGGGCUUGCCUGUGUUGGGAGUCUCUCCAGCAAAAUCAGGCUGCAGAAAUGAGAUUCUAGUUAAACAAGGCCCACUGUUGCUUUAAGAUGAAAUGUCAAAGUUUUAAAAAAUGUAUUAACUUGCUCUUUUGGCCAAGAGAUAAACAGAUGUACUUCCUUCUACUCCACAGGCAUUGAGUUGACAGAGAAGAGCUUGAAUCAUCAACAUGGCGUGAGUGACCACAUCCCUCACUCUGAGCCCCACUCCACAGCAGAUGACUCUGAAUCGCCCCGGCUAACGGCGUGCCCAGCAUCCUGAUGCUCUGAUUAGUCCUGAAUCACCCGAGGGCGGGCGGUGCGGUGGCUGGGCUGUCUCAGAGGGCAUCGCGGGCUGGGUGGACGAGGCUGGCCCAGAAGAGGGCAACAAGCAUUUGACAGGGAGUGGCAGGCUACCAUCUUGCCUCUUCUGCAGUUUGCGACACUUAGGGUCAUGAGUGUUUUUCCUCACACUAAGGAAGGAGACCACUACUCCUCCUGAUGCCCUCCUUCCCCCCACCUUGCCUAGUUCACAAAACAGGAAGAGAGAAAAAGCAAAAAGUUGGAAAAAAACAAAAGUAAGAUAAAUAGCCAGAUAACCUUGGCACCACCACCCGGCCCUAGGAGUUAAAAAAAGUGAUAAUAAUAACAUCAACCCCUGACCUAAACUACUUGUGUAAAUUCCAGACACUGUAUGAAAAAAGCAUUGUAAAACUUUCUGUUCUGUUAGCUGAUGCCUGUAGCCCCCAGUCACGUUUCCCACGCUUGCUUGAUGUACUACGACCCUUUCACGUGGACCCCUUAAAGUUGUAUGCCUUUAAAAAGGCCAAGAAUUUCUUUUUCAGGGAGCUCAGCUCUUAAGACUCAAGUCUGCCAAUGCUCCUGGCUGAAUAAAAACCUCUUCCUUCUUUAAUCCGGUGUUUGAGGAGUUUUGUCUGCGGCUUGUCCUGCUACAAUACAGUGGCCCGAAAGGCAAGGAAACUCCCGCAAGCGUUCAGAAAGGCUGCGGGUUUUUCAGGUAACAUUUCUGCAGCCACUGAUGUCUGACCCAAAGAGCUCUGAAUGCUUGCCAGAGAGAUGUGUAGUUCUAAUCCCAAAGCCCUGAAUGUUCUGAUUUCCUCAUUAAGACUGACUUAACAUGAGCUAUUUAGUCAGCUGAGUUAUCAACUGAAGAAAGUAACCGGUGUUUCCCACUUAUUUUCUUCUGUGGUUGUUUGAAAACAGCCGUGGUGUGGACAGAGUUCAUGCAGCCUUGAUGGUGGUGUGUCCCCAGCUCCACGCACGCACUAAACCUUUAAUUCAUUUCAGCAUAAAUAAGUUAAUGAAUAUGCAUACAUGAAUAAAUUAACUGGCAUAGUUUUAGUCCUAUUGAAGUUUUAAACUCACCAAUUUAUCCAACUUCUCUGCACUGAGUUUUUAUUCAAGUGAACUAUUCCAGUCUUGUGACUUCUGAUAUAAUAAUAGUAACGACUAAUAUUUAUUAGAACUUUAGUUUACCAAGCACUCCACAUUUUAUUUUUACAUUUUGUCUUCACAAACCCCCAUGAGACAGGCAUUCUCACCACUCGCAGUGUUGAUUGGCAUGCAGAGGCUCAGGGGUUUAAAUGGUUUCACUGAAGCAAUGUGAUCCGGUAGGAUGUUGCUUUCCUAUUCCUCCUAAUACCACCGUGUUCAGACAUGGGCAGCCGAGUGAGAAUAGAUCAUUUCAUGUGUGUGUAUAGACGUAACCUACACUCACAGGCGGAAAGCUGUGCAGGCUGAGAAGUGAAGCCCUCGGCUGAAUGACCAACAACAGCGUUCUAGGACCCCUUGUCCUUGCUCCGCAGGCUACACCCCUCACAUCUCCUCUGAACCAGAAAGAAAACUCUGCGGUUGCUUCUCCCUUUGACAGUCAGCCACAGUUCUCUUCAAUGUUCUCCUGGGGACUUGGGUCAAUGUUCUCCCGUCAAAUCUUAGCCAGGCCCAAGAUUACUGUGCCCCCCACCCCCCGCAGAUCUGUCAGGACACACUACUGCCCCAGAUGUAUUUGGUCGCCCCAUCUGUGUCCUAUCUGCCGUCCGUGCCUCUGGCCAGGCUUCUUGUGAGGUCCUGACUCACGCUGUCACUCUCAGGUUGUUUGCCUGUGGCUGGACACAUUGUUCAUAGGAGCCCAGCUGGCAAAGCAAAAAUACCUGAGACUGUGAUGGCAAGCUGCUUGUUCCCUGCAUCCUUGGCUGGCGAGAAGCUGAAGAGAAGUGAAAGCUCUACCUGUGAAGAGGCAGCAUUGCAGAAGGGAGGAGGUGGAGAUUCUGUCCUCAGUGCCUAGGGCCCUGCCUGGAUCUGGUUUUGCAGAGGGGAGGACGUAGAGAUUCUGUCCUCAGUGCCCAGGGCCCUGCCUGGAUCUGGUUUUGCAGAGGGGAGGACGUAGAGAUUCUGUCCUCAGCGCCCAGGGCCCUGCCUGGAUCUGGUUUUGCAGCUCCAGGGGAAACGUUUUGCACAAAUUCUCACUGGGAGCAUUAUCAGGGCUGCAGCACUUCAGUCUCUCCUGAUCUGAAUCCUUUUAACAUUAGCUGUGAUGCUGAGAAGGAUGAAAUUGAUGACACCAACAUCUGGUGGAAGACAAAAACCAGAGGGAUUUCCACCCAGGCAGAGCCCCUCCGCAGGCCUCCCCUCUUUGUGGCCUGAGGUCGGAGAGGCCUCUGGAGCAAGCCAGCGGAUGGAAUUCUCAGUUUUCUUCCAUUUGAUUAUUUUCCUAUUUUGACGUCUUUGAAAAAUGGCUCAGCCUUAUGGUGCAUGCGUUUUCUGAUUGCUUUUGUCUUUGUUUUAUUCUGAAUCAAGGACCGUGGCCACUGUGGGCUCCUCAUCCAGGACGUGGGGGCCCUCCGGGGCCUCAGUCCAUCCAUGCUGCAGUACAUGGUGAUUCUCAUGCAGAGGAUGAUCUCAGGGAUCAGCUUGAGCUGGCAGAGAAUUAAAUUAUAUGGUUUAUAAGAGUCCUGCCUCAGGGUCAGUGACACCAGGCCUGUCUCUGCUGCUAGCAAGGCCGACUUUCUUAUGUGCUGUCAUCGUGGUAAAAGCCUUGCCCACGUGAUGAAGACCCUGGACGGCUCUACUUGAGACAGAUUUCAGCUACGUUGCCUGGGAGUCUCUGGUACUUCUUCAAGGUUCUACUGAAGACAAUGACGUCAUCCAAGUACCUUGCAGUGCCUAAGUAGCUCUUGCCGCGGGAGCUCUGAGACCCCCUGUUAUCUAUUUUCGAAUUGGCCAAGGACCCCCGGCCAGGCAGGGGAUGCUCUGCCCAUCCUCGUCAGCCCUCGUGUCUUGUGAUCCUCCCCCAGCCUCCUGGCAAGCAUCCCUGUGCUUUCCGCGGGUGAGCGUGGCUGAGCUCAGUCUCGCUUACUACAACGGCAGGCACGAGGUCUGCGGAACUAAGAAGGCUCCUCUUUGCUCACUGGCCUUUCCUUUAAGUCCCUGGUCACUAACCUCUGGCAAGACAAUCCUUCUUGUGUUUUCUGGCGAUGGACUUGAGUGAUUACAAUGUAAGCGGUGGCUCCUCCUGGGGGCACGUCCAUUUUCUACCAUGAGGAGGGCGUUGCCCCUGCCAGGCUGCUGCUGUCCUCUCGUAUGCCCACCGGGCCGUCCCCCAAGAUGGCUUGGUACCCACACUGCCUGGGAAUUGCCACUCCUGCUUGUCCCGGACCCACCUCCCCUGCAGCCAUCCCGCACUCUUGAGGGGCCGGGCCCUGGCUGAGCGCUGUUCCUAGGCCCUGGAUGGCGGUGUGGAUCUCCGUCCUUGUCAGGGUAAUUUCCUCUUCUGUUUCCAGCAUUUCGAGUAAAUUCCUUUCUAAUCAUUAGGUGCCCUAGAGAGGACAGAUGCAUGGCUGUGGAGUCUUGUUCUGUGAUAUGUCAGGUAUGUGCUUGGGCGCGCGGAGGCUGCAGGAGGUGGACAGGAAUGGUCUUUCUCUUGCUCUGAGUCGCAUGUGUGGGCCAGCCCACGGGUUCUGUGGAGGAGAAUCCAGCUGCCCACCUGGCUGAGUCUAGCCCUGGGCUGGCGAUGGCCGAACCCCAGUUCCAUUCCCGGACCUUCCCUAGGCUGCUGGGUGGGUUCCCUGGCCACUGUCGCUGGGCUAAUCCAUUCUAUCUUCUCCUGGGGCGAGGCCAUUGCCGUGCUGUGCUGGUGCUGGCUCUUCAGGCAGCUCUUCAGCUCCGUGGCUCCCGGCCCAGCCCAGGCCUAACACAGGCCUGUCCCUAGUGUUCGUGCACUGAGCUUUGUGUCUAUUGCUGGUUUUUCUUUUCUUUUAAAACUUACUUCGCAGAAGGAAUUCGGCCUGAGCAGCUGAGCUUCCGUGGUAGCCUCUCCUGCUCAAAGCCGUCGUUUGCUCCCAUAUACCUGGCCUGCCAGUUUCCAUUCUCUCUUUCCCUUGUUUCAUCUUUUCUGCAGUAGGUCCUCUAGUUUCAACCACAGGUGUUUACAGUGUUGCAGUUUUAAUUUGUCGUUGUUGCAUUUAGUUUACUUGACGCACGUUCAAAACUGCAAAAUGCUGGUUCCUACCCGUCUCUGAUGUCACCAAAGGCUGCCCAGAGGCCUGCAGCACAUUGACGAUGGUCUUAGUAUUACACAGCUGUCUGACCAGUACCACAAAUCCAGAGUCCAAGCAGCUCAGGUUUGCCUUCUCCCUGUCUGUGUGGGUCCAGCGCCCUGGGCUCAGCAGGGCCUCCUGCUCCUGCUCCUGUAGGGUGGGCUGGGCCUUCCCACACGGGCCUGGGGAGGAGCCUCUCCUAGGUGCUGGCAGGGCCCUGGCCUUUACUUAUUCCCUCUGAUGCCAGCCAGCUACUGCAGCCCUGGUGGCGUCUCCCUGGGGGUGCCCGGGUGCAGGUGUCCGCUGCCGGGCCGUGGGUGUCUCAUUCUGUGUCCGGACCUCUCUGUGAUGUGAACCUUGGGCUUUUUUUUUUUUUUUUUUUUUUUUUCAGAUGUUAAGGGAGUCCACCACAUGUUUCCAUGGUAACGGCUCCUUUUCCUGGUUUACUGGAGGGUUCUGACGGUCAAGGCCUCCUGUGUAUUGACUGGGUUAUCGCCUGGGGGUUUUAUUGCUUUGUCUUUUACAUUUAGUUUUACUGUUCCUGGAACUGAAUUUGUUUGUGAUGUGAGUCAGAAAUCCUGUCACAUUUUUCCACGUGGAUAUCCAGGGCCCCCGCCGUUUGUGGGAAGGCCGCACCUUCUGCCCGCUCUGCUGUCCAUCCGCGUGCCCAUCUCCAUGGGUUUCUCUCUGCACGGCUUGUUCUGUCCUGCAUGUCCAUCCUUGAGAUCGUUUUUCUCUGGCUUAAUGAUUACAGCUGUACGUUUCAUUUUCAUGGCUGGGAUCUGCAGGACGAGCUUACAUAUAGCAUAAAAUUGGAUGUUCCUUUGAAACAACAGCAGUCAGAAGUCCAUGAGGAGGUGUCUUCUGACUGCGAGGAUAAGGGUGGAUCACCUUAAUGCAAUCAGGGAAUGAUGUGUUAGAAGCAUCUAUAGUUCCUGCUUCCCCUAAUUUCUAGCUGUAGCCAUUUGAAGAUUCUAAGCAAGUCCUCAACUGUUCAGCAGAGCCUCUGGUCCAGCAUGAGACCAAAACCCAGGCUCCCAGUUUCUCCGCCUGUGCUGAGACCUUGUUUCCCAGGACCUCGGUGGACUUGGCUUUCAUGACUGGUGCCUCACCCCAGCACAUGUGCCUAAAAUAACAGAAAAAUACAGUGCCUGCAUGUUGGGAGCAAGCCCCCCAAAGUCUGGCCCCAAAACUGGCCAUAAAUAAAAUCUCUGCAGCAAUGUAACAUGUCCAUAAUGGCCAUAAAGCCCAAGCUGGAAGGUUGUGGGUUUACAGGAAUGACGGUAAGGAACACCUGGCCCGCUCAGGGCGGAAAACUGGUUAAAGGCAUUUUUAAGCCAUAAACAAUUAGCCUGAGCGAUCUGUGCCUUAAGGGCGUGUUCCUGCUGCAAUUAAUUCAGCCCAUCCCUUCGUUUCCCUUAAGGGAUACUUUCAGUUAAUUUAAUAUCCAUAGAAACAAUGCUAAUGACUGGUUUGCUGUUAAUAAAUAUGUGGGUAAAUCUCUGUUCGGGGCUCUCAGCUCUGAAGGCUGUGAGACCCCUGAUAUCCCACUUUACACCUCUGUAU
rnacentral:lncRNA from 1 species